CAGAUGUGAAUUUUAACAAGUUAUUAAAUUCUUAACUUUUCAUUAUUUAUCAUUUUUUAAACAUGAUGGGUCUUUAAAUCAUUUAUUGAAUCCAACGUGGUGGGUCUUUAAAGUUCGUAAAGGUGAACUGUCAUCAAUAUUUCCCACGGACUUUCCUUAUUGUUGAUUGGCUCUUUCGUUUUGUCUCGUCCAAUCGGAACUUGCGUUUCAAUGGCUUGUGGUCACAUGGUAUAGCAUUGCGGGAGAAGCCGCCAUGUUUAACUUCAGUUAAGUCGUUGUAAAAGGUUGAUGUUGAUUAAUUUAAGUUUGUAAGGAUUUGAUAUAGAUUUAAUAGGUUGGAUAUAGGAUUGAGGUUGGUAUAAGCACAGUAGUUAUUCACAGUGUGACAGUUGACAGUGGAGUGGAGUGUUUUGUCAAUGUACUUGUUUUACAAACAAGAUCCAGACAGUACAGUAUUAUAUGGUAUUGUACAGUGGUAUACAGACUUGUCUAUAAAUAUUUGUAUAUGUCUUUGAGUGGACCCACUGGUAAAUAAAGCAGAAUAUAUGUGAACCAAUCCAAGACUUGGUUUUAUGUAAAACCCCAAUCUGCUAGAAUGGCGCCCAACGUGAUCAGAGACUUGUAAGUUACAGAUAUUUUAAAGUCGACAGUUGAAUAGCUGGUGAAUUCAUUUGUAUAGACGUGUUAUUAUUCAAUUUAUUGAUAUUUCUUCAAG